rnacentral:rRNA from 2 species
GGUUAAGCGACUAAGCGUACACGGUGGAUGCCCUGGCAGUCAGAGGCGAUGAAGGACGUGCUAAUCUGCGAAAAGCGUCGGUAAGGUGAUAUGAACCGUUAUAACCGGCGAUGUCCGAAUGGGGAAACCCAGUGUGAUUCGUCACACUAUCGUUAACUGAAUACAUAGGUUAACGAGGCGAACCGGGGGAACUGAAACAUCUAAGUACCCCGAGGAAAAGAAAUCAACCGAGAUUCCCCCAGUAGCGGCGAGCGAACGGGGAGCAGCCCAGAGUCUGAAUCAGCUUGUGUGUUAGUGGAACGGUCUGGAAAGUCCGACGGUACAGGGUGAUAGUCCCGUACACCAAAAUGCACAGGUUGUGAACUCGAAGAGUAGGGCGGGACACGUGGUAUCCUGUCUGAAUAUGGGGGGACCAUCCUCCAAGGCUAAAUACUCCUGACUGACCGAUAGUGAACCAGUACCGUGAGGGAAAGGCGAAAAGAACCCCGGCGAGGGGAGUGAAAAAGAACCUGAAACCGUGUACGUACAAGCAGUGGGAGCACCUUCGGGUGUGACUGCGUACCUUUUGUAUAAUGGGUCAGCGACUUAUAUUCUGUAGCAAGGUUAACCGUAUAGGGGAGCCGCAGGGAAACCGAGUCUUAACUGGGCGUUAAGUUGCAGGGUAUAGACCCGAAACCCGGUGAUCUAGCCAUGGGCAGGUUGAAGGUUGGGUAACACUAACUGGAGGACCGAACCGACUAAUGUUGAAAAAUUAGCGGAUGACUUGUGGCUGGGGGUGAAAGGCCAAUCAAACCGGGAGAUAGCUGGUUCUCCCCGAAAGCUAUUUAGGUAGCGCCUCGUGAACUCAUCUUCGGGGGUAGAGCACUGUUUCGGCUAGGGGGUCAUCCCGACUUACCAACCCGAUGCAAACUACGAAUACCGAAGAAUGUUAUCACGGGAGACACACGGCGGGUGCUAACGUCCGUCGUGAAGAGGGAAACAACCCAGACCGCCAGCUAAGGUCCCAAAGUCAUGGUUAAGUGGGAAACGAUGUGGGAAGGCACAGACAGCCAGGAUGUUGGCUUAGAAGCAGCCAUCAUUUAAAGAAAGCGUAAUAGCUCACUGGUCGAGUCGGCCUGCGCGGAAGAUGUAACGGGGCUAAACCAUGCACCGAAGCUGCGGCAGCGACACUAUGUGUUGUUGGGUAGGGGAGCGUUCUGUAAGCCUGCGAAGGUGACCUGUGAGGGUUGCUGGAGGUAUCAGAAGUGCGAAUGCUGACAUAAGUAACGAUAAAGCGGGUGAAAAGCCCGCUCGCCGGAAGACCAAGGGUUCCUGUCCAACGUUAAUCGGGGCAGGGUGAGUCGACCCCUAAGGCGAGGCCGAAAGGCGUAGUCGAUGGGAAACAGGUUAAUAUUCCUGUACUUGGUGUUACUGCGAAGGGGGGACGGAGAAGGCUAUGUUAGCCGGGCGACGGUUGUCCCGGUUUAAGCAUGUAGGCUGAUUGUCCAGGCAAAUCCGGAUAAUCAAGGCUGAGGUGUGAUGACGAGGCACUACGGUGCUGAAGUAACAAAUGCCCUGCUUCCAGGAAAAGCCUCUAAGCAUCAGGUAACAUCAAAUCGUACCCCAAACCGACACAGGUGGUCAGGUAGAGAAUACCAAGGCGCUUGAGAGAACUCGGGUGAAGGAACUAGGCAAAAUGGUGCCGUAACUUCGGGAGAAGGCACGCUGGUGUGUAGGUGAAGUCCCUGCGGAUGGAGCUGAGACCAGUCGAAGAUACCAGCUGGCUGCAACUGUUUAUUAAAAACACAGCACUGUGCAAACACGAAAGUGGACGUAUACGGUGUGACGCCUGCCCGGUGCCGGAAGGUUAAUUGAUGGGGUUAUCCGUAAGGAGAAGCUCUUGAUCGAAGCCCCGGUAAACGGCGGCCGUAACUAUAACGGUCCUAAGGUAGCGAAAUUCCUUGUCGGGUAAGUUCCGACCUGCACGAAUGGCGUAAUGAUGGCCAGGCUGUCUCCACCCGAGACUCAGUGAAAUUGAACUCGCUGUGAAGAUGCAGUGUACCCGCGGCAAGACGGAAAGACCCCGUGAACCUUUACUAUAGCUUGACACUGAACAUUGAGCCUUGAUGUGUAGGAUAGGUGGGAGGCUUUGAAGCGUGGACGCCAGUCUGCGUGGAGCCAACCUUGAAAUACCACCCUUUAAUGUUUGAUGUUCUAACGUUGGCCCCUUACCGGGGUUGCGGACAGUGUCUGGUGGGUAGUUUGACUGGGGCGGUCUCCUCCCAAAGCGUAACGGAGGAGCACGAAGGUUAGCUAAUCCUGGUCGGACAUCAGGAGGUUAGUGCAAUGGCAUAAGCUAGCUUGACUGCGAGCGUGACGGCGCGAGCAGGUGCGAAAGCAGGUCAUAGUGAUCCGGUGGUUCUGAAUGGAAGGGCCAUCGCUCAACGGAUAAAAGGUACUCCGGGGAUAACAGGCUGAUACCGCCCAAGAGUUCAUAUCGACGGCGGUGUUUGGCACCUCGAUGUCGGCUCAUCACAUCCUGGGGCUGAAGUAGGUCCCAAGGGUAUGGCUGUUCGCCAUUUAAAGUGGUACGCGAGCUGGGUUUAGAACGUCGUGAGACAGUUCGGUCCCUAUCUGCCGUGGGCGCUGGAGAAUUGAGGGGGGCUGCUCCUAGUACGAGAGGACCGGAGUGGACGCAUCACUGGUGUUCGGGUUGUCAUGCCAAUGGCACUGCCCGGUAGCUAAAUGCGGAAGAGAUAAGUGCUGAAAGCAUCUAAGCACGAAACUUGCCCCGAGAUGAGUUCUCCCUGAGACUUUAAGUCUCCUGAAGGAACGUU